UUAAAGGAAGUUGACGGGGACCCGCACGAAGCGGUGGAUGAUGUGGUUUAAUUCGAUGCAACGCGAAAACCUUACCUACCUUUGACAUGUACGGAAUUCGCCAGAGAUGGCUUAGUGCUCGAAAGAGAACCGUAACACAGGUGCUGCAUGGCUGUCGUCAGCUCGUGUCGUGAGAUGUUGGGUUAAGUCCCGCAACGAGCGCAACCCUUGUCAUUAGUUGCUACAUUUAGUUGGGCACUCUAAUGAGACUGCCGGUGACAAACCGGAGGAAGGUGGGGAUGACGUCAAGUCCUCAUGGCCCUUAUAGGUAGGGCUACACACGUCAUACAAUGGAUGGUACAAAGGGUCGCCAACCCGCGAGGGGGAGCCAAUCCCAUAAAACCAUUCGUAGUCCGGAUCGCAGUCUGCAACUCGACUGCGUGAAGUCGGAAUCGCUAGUAAUCGUGGAUCAGCAUGCUACGGUGAAUACGUUCCCGGGCCUU
rnacentral:rRNA from 1 species